UGCGAUUAAGGUGGAGGUGGCGGUACCAGUAGCAGUAGCAGCAGCAACCGACGAAGCCUCGUGAAAAAAGGUUAAACUCGUUUUCGUUUUCGUCGCUAAUUAGACUCGUUAAGCGCCACGGUGUAGCCAUAAUCGGGCAACUUCAGAGUCUCAUGGUGAACCAAUGCCUCCUAGCUUAGUUCCUCCCCGUCGUCCAGUCUUAAAAGGUGCCUUUUCGUGAACACUCUCACUAAAUGAUCGCAUCCCUGGUCUCUCAUAUCAGCUAGAUGCUUCAUUUCUAUCAACUAUCAAGCUUACAAUUAACUAAAUUCUUUAGAAUUUAUUGUGGUGACUAUGGACUAUGGAUUGAUGAUUAGACAGUGACAGUGAUGUGAAAAAUCGCCCUUAGAGGCUAGGUGAAGACAGAAGACACGGGUACUUAGUACUAAAGCCAACCGGGAUUUUUGUUGGUUGAAAAGAAUGGAUUGAUGUCCCACGAUGAUUCUUCGGGGUAUCAAGCACUGAGCUCCGUAGCCUCGGCCCGGAUAAAACACUCAGUGGGCGGCCAUAUUGAAUCGUGAUAGGGACCCGCAAUUAAGCCCGAGUAGGCCACCCGGACGAAUGUUAAGAUAAGCUCCAGCGCAAGUGGUUAACAUUGGCUCUGGAAGAUGGCGCUCUAGUCUGGUCUACUCAGCUGAUGAUCGACUCCUGAUGGCUGAGAUUGGAUAGGCCUAAAUAUUGCCGUCUCUUGAGAAGCAAGUAAGCUCAGCAGCCAAGGGAACCCGGCAAUGACAGCACCUCAGACAUCCGCAGUGCCAAGCGCGGUCGGCUGCCCUGAGAUACCAUCUUUCCGCGAUGUCUCUUC